AGUGAGGAAGAGAUGGCAGGAAUGACAGGCUGAAUGGAAAAUGACCUGUUGGGAUCAUCUUGAGUGGUCCUAAUGGAACCAUCAUCAUCUACUCUGAAUAGAAAAAUCAAAACAGCAUCUUUCUGGUUUCUCUUACAGUGAAAGCUUUCUGAGCCAAGUAUAUUAGAGACAAUCCCUCCCACAGCUGUGGUUUUCAACAAAAUCAUGUGGAUGUUGAUGAACCACAGCAUGGUUGACCCAACAAAACCAUUCUUGCAGAAGCCACUGCUUGCCAACCUAUGUAUGCUGAGAUGCACAGCUGUCUAGACCAAAUGUCUUCCUUGUAUUUGUAGCCAAGAAUAUGAGACCCAACUAGAAGAGUCAUGUUUAUAUUUGUGGUACUCUAGUGAGUGUCUUUUGCCUAACAGACAGUGGCUAUAUUGACAACUGCUGUGAUGCUUAAUUGUUUUAUAAUCAGAAGAUCCUUUCUCUUAGGGACUUUUUUUUUUUUUUUUUUGAGAUGAUGUUUUGUGGGGCUAGAAGAUAACUGAAGGAGCUUGGUGAGAUUUAACAGUGGAUGGUAAUUUUCCAAACCUUAGUUUAUAUAUGUAUCAUACUGAAGAUGACAUCUGUUCCCUAAUUAGACUACCAUGAAACUUGAAGUUCCAAGACUGUGUGUGUGUGAGUGUGUGUGUGUGUGUGUGUGUGUGUGUGUGUGUGUAGGAAACCAAGAACUUUUUAUACUGGGACAUGCUUAAAAUCACAUGGAAAGCAUAGCUAAGUUACUUCAUGCCUUCCUUAGACAUUCAAAUUCAACAGGUUUGGAAUGGGGCCCAAUAAUUGUCAUUUUUGGUAAGUACACAAGUACAGUGUGACUGCUGGUCUGGGGUCCACACUUUGAGUAGCAGGGGUUCAGAUCAGAGGAACUCGAUGUGAUUCAUAUUUUCCCCUUUGAACUUAGCUUCUAAUGUCCACUCCCUCAACUCUGGUUCAUGGGGAGUGUGAAGAUAACAUCUUGGAGUGUGAAGCAAGAAUCCUAGGUGUCACAUGAUUACCUUGGCCACCCCAACAUUCUUUCCUCCACCUAUAGCCCAGAAGACAUGGAGGGCUUGGGAAAUCCUCUGCUAGUUCUGCAGUAGCAGGCAGUUUGCAUCCGGAGUUACACCCUUCAAUGGUCUCUGGAACAGCAGGAACAAACAGGAGGAGAAAAUUACAUUUGAAAUCAUUUAUUUUCACAUGCAGGGGAGAAAUCACAUUUGGUCUAGAUUCAUGUAAAGAAAACAGAGAUUAGAUUUUUAAAAAUGUGUUGCUGGCAAGAGAGAAGAGCAGACAAAUUUGGAGGAAAUACACGUUCUGUUGAACCUGGCCUCCAUUUCCAGACUUGCAUUUGAAGGGGUUUGGGGUUAACCCAUGGAGAAGAAUCAAGUCUAGGUUUUAUUUUUAAUUUUUCCUUGCUUUUGAAAAUACUUUCUAGAUUUGGACUGGGAAUGAUAAAAACAUCUGGACUGCAGGAAAGGCUAUUCCUGGGGUGUUGAGGUUUUUCUUGUCUAAUCUAUAGCAGAAUGAUUAAGGAGUCUUAUCUGAGGCCAGAAUGUUUCUCCUAGGAUUGAAGGCCAGAGCAGCCUGUGGGAGGAAAUGAGGGGAGGCUGGAUCAGAAAGUCUCCAUGUGGAAGGCAGGCUACUUACAAGGUGCUAUCUCUACUUCAUUGUCUAAGAAGGAGACUAGGAUGCACACAAGUAUCCAAUUUGUAUAGAAACAAAUGUCCCUCCUUUAAGAACUCCAAGGGAGGAACGGAAAGAACUGUUUUCUUUCCUGUGUUCCCAUCUCUGACUUCUCAAGUUGGUGGGCAGAGUCACUCUGAAGACUACAGGUAUGCAAAUGGGUGUGAGUUUGCAAGCAAGCAAGAAAGCACACUCACUCACUCACACACACACACACACACACACACACACACACACACACACACACACCACCUUGCCCUCCAAAAAGCACUAGCUUGUCUUGGCAGGGCUGCUGGAUUGGGUUUGGAGAGCUGCCCACUGCCUAGUGACCACUUUU
rnacentral:lncRNA from 1 species